rnacentral:rRNA from 1 species
GAAUUGCAGAAUUCCGUGAAUCAUCGAGUUUUUGAACGCAAGUUGCGCCCGAGGCUCUUGCCGAGGGCAUGUCUGUCUGAGCGUCCA